rnacentral:rRNA from 1 species
GACGAACGCUGGCGGCGUGCUUAACACAUGCAAGUCGAACGGAAAGGCCCUGCUUUUGUGGGGUGCUCGAGUGGCGAACGGGUGAGUAACACGUGAGUAACCUGCCCUUGACUUUGGGAUAACUUCAGGAAACUGGGGCUAAUACCGGAUAGGAGCUCCUGCUGCAUGGUGGGGGUUGGAAAGUUUCGGCGGUUGGGGAUGGACUCGCGGCUUAUCAGCUUGUUGGUGGGGUAGUGGCUUACCAAGGCUUUGACGGGUAGCCGGCCUGAGAGGGUGACCGGCCACAUUGGAACUGAGAUACGGCUCAGACUCCUACGGGAGGCAGCAGUGGGGAAUAUUGCACAAUGGGCGGAAGCCUGAUGCAGCAACGCCGCGUGCGGGAUGACGGCCUUCGGGUUGUAAACCGCUUUCGCCUGUGACGAAGCGUGAGUGACGGUAAUGGGUAAAGAAGCACCGGCUAACUACGUG